GAAAUAGAUAUAUAUCAAUCUCUGUUGGUCCGUCAUUGGACGAUAUGACAGAAAUUGCAAGCUAUUUAACCUUCAGAGGAAUAAAUCACAUUUUUAGAAGCACCGUUAGAACAAGAUUCAUUAAAUUUUCCCAACAACAUUAUGAGGAUUACCUAGAAGUUUGUGAAGUGUACGCCUAUAGCUAUACACAGCUAUAAAGUGUUUCUUAGUAUUGAAGAUAAGAAAAACACAACUACAAAGUUGCGAAACCUACAUUCAGAAUGAAUCAAAUAAUAUGUUUGAUAAACAUGAUUAUUGUUUUCGGCAAAUAAAAUGUUUCAGUAAAAUGUCAA